rnacentral:rRNA from 1 species
UGGAGCAUUCGCUUCAGGAGGGGGUCGCGGCCGAGUUAGUUAUUUGGCUGGGGUAUGGCCCACCAAGACAGUGAUCGGUAUCCUGGCCUGAGAGGGCAGCACUGGACACACUGGAACUGAAACACGGGUCCUAGACUCCUACGGGAGAGCAGCUAGUGGGGAAUUUUGCGCAAUGGGGGAAACCCUGACGCAGCCAACGCCGUCGUGGAGGAUGAAAUCCCUUGGGAUGUACCAUCUCCUUUCGAUCGGGACGAUUGAUGACGGUACCGGAAAAGAAGCC